rnacentral:rRNA from 1 species
UACGUAGGCAGCGAGCGUUGUUCGGAAUUACUGGGCGUAAAGAGUGUGUAGGCGGUGCUCUAAGUUCGGUGUGAAAUCUCCUGGCUCAACCUGGGGACGCCACUCGAUACUGCUGUGACUAGAGUCCGGUAGGGGAGCGUGGAAUUCCUGGUGUAGCGGUGAAAUGCGCAGAUAUCAGGAGGAACACCAGCGGCGAAGGCGGCGCUCUGGGCCGGUACUGACACUGAGGAGCGAAAGCGUGGGUAGCAAACAGG